rfam:Triticum aestivum genome assembly, contig: Triticum_aestivum_CS42_TGACv1_scaffold_003350_1AL
CAAGUACUCCCUCCGUCCUAAAUUUUUUGUCUUAGAUUUGUCUAAGUAUAGAUGUAUCUAGUCAUGUUUUAGUGCUAGAAACAUCCGUAUUUCUAGAUAAAUCUAAGACAAUUUUUUUGGGAUGAAAGCAAUAUGAU